GUCGAGCGGAUGAAGGGAGCUUGCUCUUGGAUUCAGCGGCGGANGGGUGAGUAAUGCCUAGGAAUCUGCCUGGUAGUGGGGGAUAACGUUCCGAAAGGAACGCUNAUACCGCGUACGUCCUACGGGAGAAAGCAGGGGACCUUCGGGCCUUGCGCUAUCAGAUGAGCCUAGGUCGGAUUAGCUAGUUGGUGAGGUAAUGGCUCACCAAGGCGACGAUCCGUAACUGGUCUGAGAGGAUGAUCANUCACACUGGAACUGAGACACGGUCCAGACUCCUACGGGAGGCAGCAGUGGGGAAUAUUGGACAAUGGGCGAAAGCCUGAUCCAGCCAUGCCGCGUGUGUGAAGAAGGUCUUCGGAUUGUAAAGCACUUUAAGUUGGGAGGAAGGGCUGUAGGCUAAUAUCCUGCGGUUUUGACGUUACCAACAGAAUAAGCACCGGCUAACUUCGUGCCAGCAGCCGCGGUAAUACGAAGGGUGCAAGCGUUAAUCGGANUUNCUGGGCGUAAAGCGCGCGUAGGUGGUUCGUUAAGUUGGAUGUGAAAGCCCCGGGCUCAACCUGGGAACUGCAUCCAAAACUGGCGAGCUAGAGUACGGUAGAGGGUAGCGGAAUUUCCUGUGUAGCGGUGAAAUGCGUAGAGAUUGAAAGGAACAUCAGUGGCGAANGCGGCCACCUGGACAAAACUGACGCUGAGGCACGAAAGCGUGGGUAG
rnacentral:rRNA from 1 species